rnacentral:rRNA from 1 species
CCUACGGGUGGCAGCAGUGAGGAAUAUUGGUCAAUGGCCGUAAGGCUGAACCAGCCAAGUAGCGUGAGGGAAGACUGCCCUAUGGGUUGUAAACCUCUUUUAUGCGGGGAUAAAGGUGUCCACGUGUGGCCGUUUGCAGGUACCGCUUGAAUAAGGACCGGCCUAUUCCGUGCCUGCAGCCGCGGUAAUUCGGAAGGUCCAGGCGUUAUCCGGUUUUAUUGGGUUUAAAGGGAGGGUAGGCCGGUGUUCAAGCGUGCCGUGAAAUUUGGUGGCAAAACCAUGAGAGUGGCGCGAACUGGAGACCUUGAGUGCGCGAGAGGCAGGCGGAAUGCGUGGUGUAGCGGUGAAAUGCUUAGAUAUCACGAAGAACCCCGAUUGCGAAGGCAGCCUGCCGCAGCGUUACUGACGCUGAAGCUCGAAAGCGCGGGUAUCGAACAGGAUUAGAUACCCGUGUAGUC